rnacentral:rRNA from 1 species
UACAGAGGGGGCAAGCGUUAUUCGGAAUUACUGGGCGUAAAGCGUGCGCAGGCGGUUCGUUAAGUCAGAUGUGAAAGCCCCGGGCUCAACCUGGGAACUGCAUUUGAAACUGGCGGGCUUGAGUAUGGCAGAGGGGGGUGGAAUUCCGCGUGUAGCAGUGAAAUGCGUAGAGAUGCGGAGGAACACCGAUGGCGAAGGCAGCCCCCUGGGCCAAUACUGACGCUCAGGCACGAAAGCGUGGGGAGCAAACAGG